CGACGAGUUUGAUCCUGGCUCAGGAUGAACGCUAGCGGCAGGCUUAAUACAUGCAAGUCAAGGGGGUAGCAAUACAACCGGCGCACGGGUGAGUAACGCGUACACAACAUACCAUAUACUGGGGUAUAGCUUCGGGAAACUGGAGAUAAUCCCCCAUAACAUUGCGAGAGGGCGAUCUGAUUGCAAUUAAAGUUUCGACGGUAUAUGAUUGGUGUGCGUUUGAUUAGCGUUGUUGGUAGGGUAACCGGCCUACCAAGGCGACGAUCAAUAGCUGGCGUGAGUGCGCGACCAGCCACACUGGAACUGAGACACGGUCCAGACUCCUACGGGAGGCAGCAGUAGGGAAUAUUGGACAAUGGGCGAAAGCCUGAUCCAGCCAUGCCGCGUGAUAGAUGAAGGCCCUCUGGGUUGUAAAUAUCUUUUAUCUGGGAAGAAACUCCUCUAUUCUUAGAGGCCUGACGGUACCAGAGGAAUAAGCACCGGCUAACUCCGUG
rnacentral:rRNA from 1 species